UCAAAUGCGGGCGGUGGAUUAUUUCUUAUCCCUCCUCCAUCUACCCCACACAAGAGCUGCUUUUUGUUCCUCUUUUUGCCAAGUUCCAAGGAUUCAAUGAGAAGACCUGCCUUCUGCAAACCCGGAGGCAAGCCCUCAUCAGACACCAGGUCUGCUGCCACCAUGAUGUUGGACUGCUCAGCCUCCAGAACUGUGAGAAAUAAAUGUUUGUUGCUUAA